AAGGGCUGGUGGUCUGGGCUGAACCUCCUGCUAAGGCCUUCUAGUGUUGGCAAAAUUAAGUCUGAUGCAACAGCGGCCAGUGGCUCAUCUCUGUGCCCUAAAGUCGUUGCUGUUAACAUCAAGCUUGAGCCUCUAUAUGAGGAGGACAUAUCUGUGAAGGAUGAGCCUAUUGACAUUAAUGAAAAUCAGCAAACUCCACCUCCCUCAUCUUGUGUGCCAUGCAAGAAGGAAGCUCAAGUUGAGGCUCGGGACGCC
rnacentral:lncRNA from 1 species